UACGUAGGGUGCAAGCGUUGUCCGGAAUUACUGGGUGUAAAGGGUCCGCAGGCGGGCGAACAAGUCGGUGGUGAAAGCUCUUCGCUUAACGGAGAGACUGCCAUCGAUACUGUUUGUCUUGAGUUCGAGAGAGGAUGAUGGAAUUCAUGGUGUAGCGGUGAAAUGCGUAGAGAUCAUGAAGAACACCGGUAGCGAAGGCGGUCAUCUGGCUCGAUACUGACGCUCAGGGACGAAAGCGUGGGUAGCAAACAGG
rnacentral:rRNA from 1 species